UACGUAGGGUGCGAGCGUUAAUCGGAAUUACUGGGCGUAAAGCGUGCGCAGGCGGUUCGUUAAGUCAGAUGUGAAAGCCCCGGGCUCAACCUGGGAAUGGCGAUGGAUACUGGCUCGCUAGAGUGCGGUAGAGGAGAGUGGAAUUCCCGGUGUAGCAGUGAAAUGCGUAGAGAUCGGGAGGAACAUCAGUUGCGAAGGCGGCUCUCUGGACCAGCACUGACACUGAGGCACGAAAGCGUGGGGAGCAAACAGG
rnacentral:rRNA from 1 species